rnacentral:rRNA from 1 species
UACGUAGGGCGCAAGCGUUGUCCGGAAUUAUUGGGCGUAAAGAGCUCGUAGGCGGCCUGUUGCGUCCGCUGUGAAAUCCCGGGGCUCAACCCCGGGCCUGCAGUGGAUACGGGCUGGCUAGAGGCAGGCAGGGGAGAACGGAAUUCCUGGUGUGGCGGUGAAAUGCGCAGAUAUCAGGAGGAACACCAAUGGCGAAGGCAGCUCACUGGGACGGUAUUGACGCUGAGACGCGAAAGCGUGGGGAGCAAACAGG